UAGGAAUCUGCCUGGUAGUGGGGGACAACGUUUCCUUAAGGAACGCUAAUACCGCAUACGUCCUACGGGAGAAAGCAGGGGACCUUCGGGCCUUGCGCUAUCAGAUGAGCCUAGGUCGGAUUAGCUAGUUGGUGAGGUAAUGGCUCACCAAGGCGACGAUCCGUAACUGGUCUGAGAGGAUGAUCAGUCACACUGGAACUGAGACACGGUCCAGACUCCUACGGGAGGCAGCAGUGGGGAAUAUUGGACAAUGGGCGAAAGCCUGAUCCAGCCAUGCCGCGUGUGUGAAGAAGGUCUUCGGAUUGUAAAGCACUUUAAGUUGGGAGGAAGGGCAGUAAAUUAAUACUUUGCUGUUUUGACGUUACCGACAGAAUAAGCACCGGCUAACUCUGUGCCAGCAGCCGCGGUAAUACAGAGGGUGCAAGCGUUAAUCGGAAUUACUGGGCGUAAAGCGCGCGUAGGUGGUUCGUUAAGUUGGAUGUGAAAUCCCCGGGCUCAACCUGGGAACUGCAUUCAAAACUGUCGAGCUAGAGUAUGGUAGAGGGUGGUGGAAUUUCCUGUGUAGCGGUGGAAAUGCCGUAGGAUAUAGGGAAAGGAACACCAGUGGGCGAAGGCCGACCACCUGGGACUGAAUACUGACACUGAAGGUGCGGAAAGCGUGGGGGAGCAAACAGGGAUUAGAUACCCCUGGGUAG
rnacentral:rRNA from 1 species